UACGUAGGGUGCGAGCGUUAAUCGGAUUCAUUGGGUUUAAAGGGUGCGUAGGCGGACUUGUAAGUCAGUGGUGAAAUCUCUUUGCUUAACAAAGAAACUGCCAUUGAUACUGCAGGUCUAGAGUAUAGAUGACGUUGGCGGAAUAUGACAUGUAGUGGUGAAAUACUUAGAUAUGUCAUAGAACACCGAUUGCGAAGGCAGCUAACGAAACUAUAACUGACGCUGAGGCACGAAAGUGCGGGGAUCAAACAGG
rnacentral:rRNA from 1 species